UACGAAGGGGGCUAGCGUUGCUCGGAAUUACUGGGCGUAAAGGGAGCGUAGGCGGAUAGUUCAGUCAGAGGUGAAAGCCCAGGCUCAACCUUGGAAUUGCCUUUGAUACUGGGUAUCUUGAGUAUGGAAGAGAUAAGUGGAAUUGCGAGUGUAGAGGUGAAAUUCGUAGAUAUUCGCAGGAACACCAGUGGCGAAGGCGGCUUACUGGUCCAUAACUGACGCUGAGGUGCGAAAAGCGUGGGGGAGCAAACAGG
rnacentral:rRNA from 1 species